rnacentral:rRNA from 1 species
GACGAACGCUGGCGGCGUGCUUAACACAUGCAAGUCGAACGGAAAGGCCCUGCUUUUGUGGGGUGCUCGAGUGGCGAACGGGUUAGUAACACGUGAGUAACCUGCCCUUGACGUUGGGAUAACUUCAGGAAACGGGGGCUAAUACCGGAUAGGAGCUCCUGCUGCAUGGGGGGGGUUGGAAAGUUUCGGCGGUUGGGGAUGGACUCGCGGCUUAUCAGCUUGUUGGUGGGGUAGUGGCUUACCAAGGCUUUGACGGGUAGCCGGCCUGAGAGGGUGACCGGCCACAUUGGGACUGAGAUACGGCCCAGACUCCUACGGGAGGCAGCAGUGGGGAAUAUUGCACAAUGGGCGGAAGCCUGAUGCAGCAACGCCGCGUGCGGGAUGACGGCCUUCGGGUUGUAAACCGCUUUCGCCUGUGACGAAGCGUGAGUGACGGUAAUGGGUAAAGAAGCACCGGCUAACUACGUG